rnacentral:rRNA from 1 species
UGUUUGAUGUUCUAACGUGGACCCGUGAUCCGGGUUGCGGACAGUGUCUGGUGGGUAGUUUGACUGGGGCGGUCUCCUCCUAAAGAGUAACGGAGGAGCACGAAGGUUGGCUAAUCCUGGUCGGACAUCAGGAGGUUAGUGCAAUGGCAUAAGCCAGCUUGACUGCGAGCGUGACGGCGCGAGCAGGUGCGAAAGCAGGUCAUAGUGAUCCGGUGGUUCUGAAUGGAAGGGCCAUCGCUCAACGGAUAAAAGGUACUCCGGGGAUAACAGGCUGAUACCGCCCAAGAGUUCAUAUCGACGGCGGUGUUUGGCACCUCGAUGUCGGCUCAUCACAUCCUGGGGCUGAAGUAGGUCCCAAGGGUAUGGCUGUUCGCCAUUUAAAGUGGUACGCGAGCUGGGUUUAGAACGUCGUGAGACAGUUCGGUCCCUAUCUGCCGUGGGCGCUGG